AAAGUAUAUUCCAGCCUUAAGCUUGUGUAGCAGGAUGAAUGCUGCACUCUCCUUGGGUUGGCUGUGUUAUGCUCCUGUGACAUAAUGACCGUGCCUUGCUUUGACCAAUCAUGACACGAGGAUGCACUAUAAAGCUGGGCAAGGGUUACUCACUGUUCUCUUGCUGCAACGUCAGGGGCACGCCCCGCUUCCCGUUUGCCUCACUUCCUGUUUGCCUCACUUCCUGUUUACCAUUGCUGACAGGGUCACUGUUGGGUGUCCAUAGCCAGAGAGCUGAGCCGCUCGCUGGCUGCUGUAUGUCCAGUUCGAGCCGUGAGCCGCUCGUGAGCCGUUACUGGCUGUUACCGUGGCUGCCGGUUGCUCCCCGUUCCCUUGUGGUGGACAAAAUUUACUGAUUGGCGGGCCGCCGCUUGUCUGGAGCUGUGCUGGCUACACAGGGUCCCAAACGUAGGAGACGCUGCUGUUUUGCCUCCGCGGGUUUGUCUCGCAGACGUGGGUCUGUGUUGCCGACGCUUGCCGGUCGGCUUCGUCUUCUUUUAGUCCGUUAUCUGCUUUUGUGUUGGCGCUGUGGGUGUUGGGCUGCUUCCAGCUUGUCUCUGUGGCUGCUGACCAAUCGUUGCACAUACUGCUUCUUCUAAUGUCCAGAGUAAGCUGUGGGCCUCCGGUGGCGGGGACUGGUGUCUUCGGGUGGUGGGAACCCCUUCCUGUGUGGUGUGCUGCUCAUCCCCUGGUUGUUUUAUUUAUUUCUUCACUCAGGUGUGUGUGUGUGUGUGUGUGUGUGUGUGUGUGUGUGUGUGUGUGUGUGUGUGUGUGUGUGUGUGUGUGUGUGUGUGUGUGUGUGUGUGUGUGUGUGUGUGUGCGCGUGCGCAUGUUCACGUUCACGUGUGAGUGGGGUGAUUUCUCCUGGGCUCCCUUGUGAUGCCCGUUGGCCCAAACCUCCACCAGAGAGCCCCCAGCUCUGAUUAGUCCCCAAACCCGUCAUUUAACAAUCUCGUGUGAAUGGUUGUUUUUUUUUUUUUUUUUUUUUUUUUUGGUUUUAAACUGAGUAUUUUUAGUAUUAAAUAAAAUUUGUAUUUUUUGUCUGCACUGGAAUCAUAUCUCUUGCCUCAUCAGUGGAACGAACCUGAGUUGCCUUCUCGUUAGUGGUGGUUAUAAUUCCCUGGGUGAAAGUCCCAGGGUGGCGUUGUCUGGCCAGUGUCUACAUUCAGUAAUUGUAGCACGUUAGUUUAUCCCCGACCCCUGCGCUCGCCACACUUGUUUUAUGCUUACCGCGUCCGCGAGGUCCGUGCGGCUCCGUGCGGAAAAAUUACGUCAUUUUCGCACCCCGCCCCCUCCGGCGGCCUUUCCGUGCGGAAAAUUUUCGCUCCACACACCUCAACAUUUUUCUAACCAACGCGGACGGAGCCGCACGGAAAAACAUGGCGGAGGGCCAGGACCUACUCGUAGCUGAAGUCUAGAAAUACGUGCACCUAUAUGAUUCAUCUCACAGAGAUCACCGUGGUAACCGGGUUAUGAACUAUUCAUGGUGUGAAAUAAAACUAACUGCUGAAAUGCUUUUAUUUGGUAAAAUGCCGUGUUGUAAGUGGUGUAAACCAUGGCAAACUUCUUCUUCUCUAGUUUAGUACCAGAGUAGACCAGGUGUCGCUGUGUCGAUGUCCACAGCUUGUUAGUGCUUCUUCCAGUGCUGCUCCUCCCUCGCUGUUCUCUCUACUGUAUGCCAUGGUACACAAUGUUUUUUUCCUGGGGAGGGACGAGGACUUAGUGCUAGACUUUAAUCCCCUUUCAUGACCAUGAUGAGUAGUUACCAUUAUUAUUGUUCUGAUUAUGAUGAUUUAUCGUUGUUCUUCUAUAUUACUGAAUGUUUUCCUUUCUUCUGUGUGUUUGAGCUACACUGCCCCCGGCAGUUUGGAAGCAGACUUCUUCUUCCCUAGUUUAUUACUAGAGUAGACCAGGUAGACGUGUGUUAGGGAUACACUGCCCCCUGCAGUUUGGGAGCAGACGCGCACGGCCCGCAAUAGCAUAGCUGCAAGUGUAGCUUCUGAUAGCCGUGCCUUAGCAGCUCCCGAGCAGCCGGGAAGUCAAGGUAGCUGGAUGACAGUUCGUAGGAAACGUAGUCCUAAACUCAACCCGCUGUCCCGGCACACCACAAACCCCUUCACGUUUCUAAUCGUUUUUCCCCACUCAACGACACACCCGCUGAGAAACAAACUCUGAUCAUUGGCAGCUCCAGGGUUGCCACCUUUCAGAAAUUAAAAUAAAGGACGGCCACCACGGCUUCUUGGGGCCACAGUUCAGUAAAGUUGGAAAAAUAUUCACAGAUUCAGACUUCCAGCAUUCCAGCAUUAGAUAUACUUUGUCAAAAGAUAAACAAUGCCUCUUUCCCGUCGUUGUAAGGCAGACAAUGUGCUACAUUGUCUUACUUAUCAAAAGUAGCUGUCUUUCAAGCUGCAGUUUACUGAACUACCACCCAAGGAGUGGUAAUAUUUAAUUUUGAAAAAAGCACUUAGCCUUACUUAAAGCUUUAAGUAUGGAGUCACAGGAGUGUCACAAUAAAAUAUAAAUAAAUAAGGAAAUAAAUGUGGAAAUAUAAAGAGAAAUAAAUAAAUAAAUGUGGAAAUAUAAAGAGAAAUAAAUAAAUAAAUGUGGAAAUAUAAAGAGAAAUAAAUAAUUGUGGAAAUAAAUGUGGAAAUAUAAAGAGAAAUAAAUGAAUAAAUAAAUAAACAUAAAGAGAAAUAAAUAAAUAAAUAUAAAGAGAAAUAAAUAAAUAAAAAGGGAAAUUUUCUCUUUGGUUUUCCCUUUUCUCUUUUUUUCCUUUUAUUUUUCCAGUUUGUCAUUGUCUUUUCCGUUUUGCAUUUGCCUUUUCCUUUUGGCACUCAGUCCAUCAAGUAAAAGCAAAGUCAAAAGCCUUGGCUUGACUUGGUGGACUGAGCUGUCAAUCAAAUGGCUCUGGGCGGGGCUUUCUGUCCAGGGUGAGUAAUCGUACCUGAUCACAGGAUUCCUGCUUGGCGAUAGCUCCUAGCCCGGCUAAACGGAAGUGAUGUUACCUUGGCGCUGAGAGGAAGUGCAGACAACGCAGUUUGCAAAUACACGAACGUGACACUUUCAGCGGAUCAGAGUAGCUGGAUUUCUCAAUGUUUGGACUCUGUAGCGGGAUAUGAAGAAGUCAGUAUCUCAGUUGGUCAGAGAAGAAGCUGACAGGCUGGAUGAGCAAGCACAUCCAAACACCCCGUCGCCGAGACAGUCGGAUUCAACGCUGUUAACAAGAGACCCCAUUGAUGGUAAGUAGUUAUUACUUCUUUUGUUGAGUUAUAGUAAAACUAGCCAGAAAGUGCAUUGUGCGACGCUGAAGUCAGCUUUUCAGCUUCCGAUUCGGCAGUUCAAUGAAUAGUCAAGGGGAACUUGAACACGGUUUUGUGAAAAGUAAAGAGUAUAUGCAACUGGAAGCUUCUGGUAACACUUCCUUCAUUGCUUUUCUCUAAAAGCUGAGGUGUCAAGACUUUUCUUGUCAUACCAGACCUCUUCACGGUCUCUGACCCCACGUCACAGGCCAAUGCUAUUUCCAAGAAGCUGUGCUGUUUCGUACUCACCACAGCAACUUCUGGACUGCAUCAUUUGGCCAGUGGAAUCCGAUAGUGAUGAGGACACAAGUCUGGAGGAAAAGUGCCAUAUCUCUGGAUUUCUGAGAGAAUACAUUGAAAAUGCCUCCUCACGAUGUUUUCAGGAACUUCUGAAGUUCUGGCAGGGGUGGAAGGUUCUUCCAAAAGAGCUGCAUGUGGAAAUUGUGCAUGGACAAAUGCCUCAGUCAAGCACAUGCAUGGAGACUCUUCGGCUGCCUUCACGCUAUAAGUCUUAUGAUGUUUUCUGUGAGGCUCUGAACGCAGCAGUCAGUUCUGUUCAAACAGGGUUUGGACUUGUUUAAAGUCACAACUUCAAGUGUUAUGCAGCCAAUUAAUGUUACCAAAAUGCAUAAAAUGUUAAAGCAGAUAUGUUUAGUUGUUUUGACAAUUGUUCUGAUGUGAUGUAAGCUUGUGAGGCAAAUGCAUGCUUCAGGAGAAGGUUCACAACAGUUCUUGUUUUUUCUGCUGCCAGGCUCAAAUUGUUGUGUGUGACAUUUAACAUGUAACAGAAAUGUGGCGGCCAGUGAGUUGUUGCAGGAAGACAGUUUAAAGGUGAGAGUUGAGAGAGUGAAUUAAUGGAGUAGCUUAUUUUUAUGUAAAAGAUUACAAACCUGAACUAUGGUUCAGGUUUGUGCAUUUCUGAACUGUGACAACAAAAUGUUUCCACACUUGGAGAAGACUGUGUUUGGGGAACAGUUGUAAUAUAAAUGUGUGGAAGUUAAAGAAAAGAAUUAUCAGUUCUGUUAAAAAAUGUUUUUUUUAUUGGCACAUUGUUUUAAUGCUUUCAAAUUAUUCAGCAUGCAAUAAAAGCAGUUUUGUA